UACGUAGGUCCCGAGCGUUGUCCGGAUUUAUUGGGCGUAAAGCGAGCGCAGGUGGUUUAUUAAGUCUGGUGUAAAGGGCAGUGGCUCAACCAUUGUAUGCAUUGGAAACUGGUAGACUUGAGUGCAGGAGAGAAGAGUGGAAUUCCAUGUGUAGCGGUGAAAUGCGUAGAUAUAUAAAGGAACACCGGUGGCGAAAGCGGCUCUCUGGCCUGUAACUGACACUGAGGCUCGAAAGCGUGGGGAGCAAACAGG
rnacentral:rRNA from 1 species